GUCCUUCGGGACUAUGAACAUAAACGCGCUCGUAAUAAGCGGAUCGGACCCGGGGGCGGUACCCGGCGACUCCACCAAACAUCCUUCAUUUGGGGAUCAUGGGGUCGAAACAGGAUCGACGAACGUCUAAAGGGGUUUGCUUUGUUUCGGCUGUCUGCCACCGUUAUCGGCGAAACUUGUACAAUUGCAAAUGACAAUCGUGCUCCAGUUGCGAUGGCCGCGUAAGCGGUUUCAGCGACUGAAACUUAACUCCUUGGGUUUAGCGACCUAAGGCGGGGUUCGCAGGCACCUGGCAACAGAAGCCUGCACU
rnacentral:tmRNA from 1 species